GCGGGAUCUGCAUUGUUUCACCCAGAGGAGGCUUACGCCUCCU
rnacentral:sRNA from 1 species